GGCGCUAUAGUGUAGUGGCAGCACAUGGGAUUCUGAUAAAGUCUUAGUGUUUUAACACCAAUGUUGCUUUCCCAUAACCCAGGUUCGACCCCUGGUAGUGCCU